rnacentral:tRNA from 1 species
CAUUAGAUGGCCGAAAGUAAGCAAUGGAAUUUUAAACCAUAAUAUAGUAAUUAACACUUACUUCUAAUG